AAUGAAGAUUCUUUAUUUCUUUCUUUGUUUCGAUCUAAUAACCACAUAAUCAAAGAUGACACAUAAACUAAAUCGGUUGAAGAGUGCUCACGGUUCAAUCUGAGAUUAUAUCUGAAAACCAGAAGAAGAAACUGAUCCGCGGUGGCUCACAGCCUGAUGUGCCGACAAAGAAGGUGACAAAAAAAAGGAAAAAAAGAGUGGAUACCUUUUAGAUCUACUUGGUUUUAGGGUUUUUAUUGUUCUGGGUUUAUUCGAUUUAGGGUUCUUAAAGAUAUUUCUAGGGUUUUUUUUAUGAUUUAGGGUUCU
rnacentral:lncRNA from 1 species